UACGUAGGGUGCGAGCGUUGUCCGGAAUUAUUGGGCGUAAAGAGCUCGUAGGCGGCUUGUCACGUCGGUUGUGAAAGCCCCGGGGCUUAACCCCGGGUCUGCAGUCGAUACGGGCAGGCUAGAGUUCGGUAGGGGAGAUCGGAAUUCCUGGUGUAGCGGUGAAAUGCGCAGAUAUCAGGAGGAACACCGGUGGCGAAAGCGGGUCUCUGGGCCGAUACUGACGCUGAGGAGCGAAAGCGUGGGGAGCGAACAGG
rnacentral:rRNA from 1 species